rnacentral:snRNA from 1 species
GCACUUUAGUGCUGUCUAUACUAAAACUGGAACGAUACAGAGAUUAUCCUGCGCAAGGACGACACGCAAAUUCGUGAAGCGUUCCAUUAAAAA